rnacentral:rRNA from 1 species
CAGGACGAACGCUGGCGACGUGCCUAACACAUGCAAGUCGAACGGAGUUGGGGAGCUUGCUCUUCAACUUAGUGGCGGACGGGUGAGUAACGCGUGGGUAACCUGCCUCUGAGAGGGGAAUAACGUUUUGAAAAGAACGCUAAUACCGCAUAACGUAUUGAAUCCGCAUGGAUAUGAUACCAAAGAUUUUAUCGCUCGGAGAUGGACUCGCGUCCGAUUAGUUAGUUGGUGAGGUAACGGCUCACCAAGACCGCGAUCGGUAGCCGGACUGAGAGGUUGAUCGGCCACAUUGGGACUGAGACACGGCCCAGACUCCUACGGGAGGCAGCAGUGGGGGAUAUUGCGCAAUGGGGGCAACCCUGACGCAGCAACGCCGCGUGAAGGAUGAAGGUUUUCGGAUUGUAAACUUCUUUUAUCAGGGACGAACAACGACGGUACCUGAUGAAUAAGCUCCGGCUAACUACGUGCCAGCCGCCGC